rnacentral:rRNA from 1 species
CCUACGGGAGGCAGCAGUGGGGAAUUUUGCGCAAUGCUCGUAAGAGUGACGCAGCGACGCCGCGUGAGGGAGUACUGCCCUAUGGGUUGUAAACCUCUUUUGUCGGGGAGCAAAAGCCGGACGUGUCCGGCUGUGAGAGUACCCGAAGAAAAAGCAUCGGCUAACUCCGUGCCAGCAGCCGCGGUAAUACGGAGGAUGCGAGCGUUAUCCGGAUGUAUUGGGUUUAAAGGGUGCGCAGGCGGAUUUUUAAGUCAGCGGUCAAAUCGUGGGGCUCAACCCCAUCCAGCCGUUGAAACUGGGGAUCUAGAGUGUGCGAGAGGUAUGCGGAAUGCGUGGUGUAGCGGUGAAAUGCAUAGAUAUCACGCAGAACCCCGAUUGCGAAGGCAGCAUACCGGUGCACAACUGACGCUCAGGCACGAAAGCGUGGGUAUCGAACAGGAUUAGAUACCCCUGUAGUC